UUCCAGACUCCUACGGGAGGCAGCAGUGGGGGAUAUUGGACAAUGGGGGAAACCCUGAUCCAGCGACGCCGCGUGAGUGAAGAAGUAUUUCGGUAUGUAAAGCUCUGUCAGCAGGGAAGAAAGAAAUGACGGUACCUGACCAAGAAGCCCCGGCUAACUACGUGCCAGCAGCCGCGGUAAUACGUAGGGGGCAAGCGUUAUCCGGAUUUACUGGGUGUAAAGGGAGCGUAGACGGCCAGACAAGUCAGAAGUGAAAGCCCAGGGCUCAACCCUGGGACUGCUUUUGAAACUGCCGGGCUGGAGUGCAGGAGAGGUAAGCGGAAUUCCUAGUGUAGCGGUGAAAUGCGUAGAUAUUAGGAGGAACACCAGUGGCGAAGGCGGCUUACUGGACUGUAACUGACGUUGAGGCUCGAAAGCGUGGGGAGCAAACAGGAUUAGAUACCCGGGUA
rnacentral:rRNA from 1 species